GGCUAACGCUGGCGGCGUGUCUUAGCCAUGCAAGUCGAGCGGACUUAUGGGGUAACUUAUAAGUCAGCGGCGGACGGCGGAGUAACACGUAGCUAACCUACCCUCUGGACGGGGAUAACCUACCGAAAGGUGGGCUAAUACCCGAUGUAGUCAUCCUGUAUAGGGGUGAUGAAAGGUGGGCUUCUGUUUACAAGCUCAUGCUGGAGGAGGGGGCUGCGGCCUAUCAGGUAGUUGGUAGGGUAAUAGCCUACCAAGCCGAUGACGGGUAGCCGGCCUGAGAGGGUGACCGGCCCGAGGGGCACUGAGAUACGGGUCCCACUCCUACGGGAGGCAGCAGGCUAGAAAUUUGGGCAAUGGGGGAAACCCUGACCCAGUGACGCCGCGUGCAGGAAGGAGCCCUUCGGGGUGUAAACUGCUGUCGUGUAGGGAGAAGGGUACUAAGGUGAACAAUCUUAGUACUUGACGGUACUACAGGAGGAAGCCCAGGCUAACCUCGUGCCAGCAGGCCGCGGUAAGAUAGCGUACU
rnacentral:rRNA from 1 species